rnacentral:rRNA from 1 species
CAAUAGCGUAUAUUAAAGCUGUUGCGGUUAAAAAGCUCGUAGUUGGAUUUCUGUCAAGGACAACUGGUCCGCCCUCCGGGUGAGCACAUAGUUUGGUCUUGGCAUCUUGCUGGAAACUGUUGCUGCACUUGGUUGUGUGGCGCAGCAUCCAGCACUUUCACUUUGAGGAAAUUGGAGUGUUUCAAGCAGGCACAUGCCUUUGGACACAGUAGCAUGGAAUAAUUAGAUUGGGCUUUUGCUCCAAUUUGUCGGUUUCUGGAGCUGAGGUGAGAAUUAAUGGGGAUUGUUGGGGGCAUCCGAAUUUAGCCGUCAGAGGUGAAAUUCUUGGAUCUGCUAAAGACGGACAACUGCGAAAGCGUCUGCCCAGGAUGUUUUCAUUGA